UACGUAGGGUGCGAGCGUUGUCCGGAAUUACUGGGCGUAAAGAGCUCGUAGGUGGUUUGUCGCGUUGUUCGUGAAAUCCCACGGCUUAACUGUGGGCGUGCGGGCGAUACGGGCAGACUGGAGUACUGCAGGGGAGACUGGAAUUCCUGGUGUAGCGGUGGAAUGCGCAGAUAUCAGGAGGAACACCGGUGGCGAAGGCGGGUCUCUGGGCAGUAACUGACGCUAAGGAGCGAAAGCGUGGGGAGCGAACAGG
rnacentral:rRNA from 1 species